rnacentral:rRNA from 1 species
GUGGACAAGGUUAGCGGCGGACGGGUGAGUAACACGUGGGUAACCUGCCUGUAAGACUGGGAUAACAUUCGGAAACGAAUGCUAAUACCGGAUACGCAGCUUGGUCGCAUGACCGGGCUGGGAAAGAUGGAGCAAUCUAUCACUUAUAGAUGGACCCGCGGCGCAUUAGCUAGUUGGUGAGGUAACGGCUCACCAAGGCGACGAUGCGUAGCCGACCUGAGAGGGUGAUCGGCCACACUGGGACUGAGACACGGCCCAGACUCCUACGGGAGGCAGCAGUAGGGAAUCUUCCGCAAUGGACGAAAGUCUGACGGAGCAACGCCGCGUGAGUGAUGAAGGUUUUCGGAUCGUA